CUGCUGAUGUCUUGGUGGAGUUCCUCUUGGAUCUAAUUGAAGACCCAGUGGAGAUCAUCAGCAGCAAACUGGAAGUCCAAGCCUUCGAACGCAUUGAGGACCACAUCAAACUCAUCGGAUUUUUCAA